rnacentral:rRNA from 1 species
AGAGUUUGAUCCUGGCUCAGGACGAACGCUGGCGGCGUGCUUAACACAUGCAAGUCGAACGAUGAACCACUUCGGUGGGGAUUAGUGGCGAACGGGUGAGUAACACGUGGGCAAUCUGCCCUUCACUCUGGGACAAGCCCUGGAAACGGGGUCUAAUACCGGAUAACACUCCUGCCUGCAUGGGUGGGGGUUAAAAGCUCCGGCGGUGAAGGAUGAGCCCGCGGCCUAUCAGCUUGUUGGUGAGGUAGUGGCUCACCAAGGCGACGACGGGUAGCCGGCCUGAGAGGGCGACCGGCCACACUGGGACUGAGACACGGCCCAGACUCCUACGGGAGGCAGCAGUGGGGAAUAUUGCACAAUGGGCGAAAGCCUGAUGCAGCGACGCCGCGUGAGGGAUGACGGCCUUCGGGUUGUAAACCUCUUUCAGCAGGGAAGAAGCGAAAGUGACGGUACCUGCAGAAGAAGCGCCGGCUAACUACGUGCCAGCAGCCGCGGUAAUACGUAGGGCGCAAGCGUUGUCCGGAAUUAUUGGGCGUAAAGAGCUCGUAGGCGGCUUGUCACGUCGGGUGUGAAAGCCCGGGGCUUAACCCCGGGUCUGCAUUCGAUACGGGCUAGCUAGAGUGUGGUAGGGGAGAUCGGAAUUCCUGGUGUAGCGGUGAAAUGCGCAGAUAUCAGGAGGAACACCGGUGGCGAAGGCGGAUCUCUGGGCCAUUACUGACGCUGAGGAGCGAAAGCGUGGGGAGCGAACAGGAUUAGAUACCCUGGUAGUCCACGCCGUAAACGGUGGGAACUAGGUGUUGGCGACAUUCCACGUCGUCGGUGCCGCAGCUAACGCAUUAAGUUCCCCGCCUGGGGAGUACGGCCGCAAGGCUAAAACUCAAAGGAAUUGACGG